rnacentral:misc_RNA from 1 species
UUGAAAUAAACCUGAUGGGUUGUUGCUGGUUCUCUAGGGAGCAAUGUGCACACCUUGUCAUCUUUAUAUCUCCACCUGUGCACUUUUUGUAGACCUUUUUAGGUCUAUGUUGCUUCAUUUUACCCCAAUGUAUGUCAAUAGAAUGUUGUGCCUAUGUAAUAUAUA